CACGAGGGUGCGAGCGUUGUCCGGAAUUAUUGGGCGUAAAGAGCUCGUAGGCGGUGUGUCGCGUCGGCCGUGAAAACCUGCAGCUUAACUGUGGGCUUGCGGUCGAUACGGGCAGGCUAGAGUUCGGUAGGGGAGGACUGGAAUUCCUGGUGUAGCGGUGAAAUGCGCAGAUAUCAGGAGGAACACCGAUGGCGAAGGCAGGUCUCUGGGCCGAUACUGACGCUGAGGAGCGAAAGCGUGGGGAGCGAACAGG
rnacentral:rRNA from 1 species